CCCUUAGAUGUUCUGGGCCGCACGCGCGCUACACUGAUGCAUUCAACGAGUCUAAAACCUGCUCUGAUAGGGGUGGGUAAUCUUUUGAAUGUGCAUCGUGAUUGGGAUAGAUGAUUGCAAUUUUUCAUCUUCACCGAGGAAUGCCUAGUAAACGCAAGUCAUCAGCUUGCAUUGAUUACGUCCCUGCCCUUUGUACACACCGCCCGUCGCUCCUACCGAUUGAAUGAUCCGAUGAAUAUCAUGGAUUGAGGAUGCAAGUAGGUUAGCCUAUCUUCAUCUUCGAGAAGUGAAGUAAAUCUUAUCAUUUAGAGGAAGGAGAAGUCGUAACA
rnacentral:rRNA from 1 species